rnacentral:lncRNA from 1 species
GUAAUCAUCAAUUUCUGAUUGCACAUGUACGAGACAGAAGGGGAAAGACAUGGGAUAGGGAAGACGGCGAUGAUAGCGAAUUUGGUUACAAAGCGAUGAUGAUGAUGAUGGAGAUGGCUACAAUAAGGUUCAGUGGUUAGCGGCGGCGGCGGCGGUUAGGGUUCCGCCAUGAAACAUGGUAUCGGCGGUGUUUUCUUUACCAGAAUCGCUAUCGGGUGGGCAAAGUUCCAACACAAGAGGCUGAGAAAGCUAGGUCGGUGGCCUCACUGGCGGCGAUGCGGGUGUCUCUCCGUCGCCUAUCCCCGGUUAUUAUGCCCCGAGGUUUAACCUAGGGUUCCGCCGGCUAUGCUUCUUCUCCGGUAAUUAUCAGUCGAUGGUUGUGGGGUUUUUACGCCGGACUUCGGCGUGAUUCUUCUUUGCCUUCAACAUGAUAGUGAUCAGGCUAAUUGCAUGUGAGGGGACACGAACCGAGCAACCUGUACGUGACCUGGAAUCAUUUAAGUUGAAGGUAUUGCAUUAAUGCAGCCAUCACUGAAGGCACCCCAGAUGUCAACGUUGUUCUUUCCGAUGAAGCGAUGAAUGGUUUUGCAAUCUCUACUAUAGAUAUGAGUCAAAUGUACUUUAGGGACUUCCCUAUUAUUAAUAUCAAUGGGGCCAAAUGUUUUUAUCUUAACUAGAACCGGGUAUGUUUGCUCCUUUUAAAAUUGUUUUCCUCAUGUCCUUGAUGGCAUAGCAAUUAAACGAGUUAAGCUUUUUUCAACGAGCACAGGCCAACAUGGUCUUUGUUUGUAUUUUUGAAAAGUUCAAAUAUUCUGAUUGCUAAAGUUUAGUAUGUAUUUGUAUUUGACUUCUGUCACCAAAAGUUGGUCUAGAUUAAUAAGAGAUUUUCACCAGGUACAAAUUUACCCACAAUCCCCUGAAAAGGUAGCAGUUUCAAAACAAAGUUUUUAGCCUCAGGGUAUAUAUUUAGUUAACGACUUUGAUACAACUCAGGGUAUAGAUUUUGGUUAAGACCGGACAGUAUCCCGCCGCACACGCUGGCAGAAGAUUACUCGAUUGGUUGUAAAGAGGGACUCCAUGAAUGGCACUGAAAAUGACUCAAUUUCGGAAGAAGUGUCAAAUAUGACAAAGCAAAAGGUUAGUGUUGCUAGGAAGCAUAUUGAGAACCAUUACAAGGAGCCAAUAAAGAGUUCGCAAGAGAGGAGAGAAAGGUAGUCUUUACGAAAUUAUGUAGUUUUAUUGUUAAAUCAUUGACAAAAAACAUGAAGCGCGGCGCAACGCGCGCGAGGAAAACUCCUAGUUAAUUCAA